GGCAGUUCUUCGGUGACACACCCCAGAAUCGGGCUCUCUCCUCUCUGGUUCCAGGUGCUUCACCUGAGAACCACA
rfam:Myotis davidii contig170429, whole genome shotgun sequence.